AAACCCUAGAUCCAUAAAUCAUCAUAAGCAAAAUCUUCGAUUCUAGCAAUUUUUUGGAAGAUUUUGAAGAGCACCAUAAUUUGGAGCAAGGAACAACUUAAGGAAGAUGAGUUUGAGACACCAACUGCUCAUGGACUUCUACGAGAGGAGUGUAGGAAAGCUUGCAAGAGCUAGAAGAUUAGAGCCUGAUGAGUCAUCCAACAAGGGCAAAAAAAGGAUAAGAGGCAAAAAGAAUCGAACCACCAAAUUGAAGAGGCAACCAUAAAAAGUGAUGUGUCAUUAUUAUGGAAGGACAUGCCACAAUCAAAAGGGAUGUUCAAGGAAGAAAAUGGACCAUCCUGUUGUGCCAAGUGCUGUAAAACAGCCUAGCAAGAUGACAAAAAAGGACCUUCUCAACCAUACAACAAACAAGUCAUUGCUGAAAAGGCUCCAUAAAAAAAUU